UACGGAGGGUGCAAGCGUUAUCCGGAUUCACUGGGUUUAAAGGGUGCGUAGGCGGUCUUGUGCGUCGGCGCUGAAAUCACACGGCUCAACCGUGUGGCGCGUGCCGAUACGACGAGACUUGAGGCUCUGAGAGGGUGGCGGAACUCCUGGUGUAGUAGUGAAAUGCGUAGAGAUCAGGAAGAACACCCGUGGCGCAAGCGGCCACCUGGCAGAGUUCUGACGCUGAGGCACGAAAGCGUGGGGAGCGAACCGG
rnacentral:rRNA from 1 species